CCUCGUGCUGUUCGCGCCGUUCGCUGAAACACGACACCGAGGGAGAUUAACCCUGAAAUGAACCAAUAGCUGGCCCUGCAGCCUAAGGAGAAUAGAUCUUCUCUCCUCGCUGCAUCUUGCUUUGUAAAUGAGGGAGGAGCGUUUAGACGUGAGCUGAGUAGAAGCUAGAUGAAGUACUUCGUGGGCCAAUAGCAAGCUAAGAACCUUAGCUCCUUUCCUCACGCACGCUGCUGGGGUGCAUCAAGUAGUGCAUCGUGCACGUGCAUUUGCAUCAGCGUCACAGCGUCAUUCCAAGCAGUUAAGCCCGCGCGGAUUGUGACGUUUUUGAGGUUUGACUGAGUGAUAUCAAGUGAUAUCUCUCAACAAAACUAUCCACAAUCAACGAUUACAUUCAUACUGUAUAGAACUACUUCCAAAAUGGUCAGCUCGCAGAGGAAAACCAAAGUAGACGCCGCCAGCACCAGUGGCUUAAGGACAAUAAGCAGAAAAACAAAUAAUACAAAGACACAAAAAAUAGUCACUACUGUCAUCACUAGCCAACCGCGUUUUACGGCAUUUCCACCCAGAAGACCAACAACUAGAAGUGUUGCCCGCCAGGAAGAAAUUGCGGCCCCGGAAGUAAUUGCUACCCCGGAAAUAAUUGCAACCCCGGAAGAAAUUUCAACCAUGGAAAAAAUUGCGGCCCCGGAAGAAAAAAUUGCGUGUGCUUACAAGCCGCGAAUCAAGCGCAUAGCCUUCGUACGCUUGACCAGUGAGGAACACGCCCUGGUCGUUAAUGCAGUGGCCACGCUGAAGGCCUGCAGCCUUUCUACUGGCCCUGACAGGGCCAAAGCUACCCAUUGCGUACUGGGCACUGCCGCGGGCAGCUAUGCUUUAAAUAUACUCCCUAACUACUGCAAGAUGGUCUCCGUAAAUUGGAUAGAAGAAUCCAUAAAAAACGGUGCGUGGCUGCCUGUCACUCCGCAGUUUGCUCCCGAAGACUUUGAUAUUAUAAAUAGGUUAAGUGAUGUGUGGCAGCGCUGCGCAAUAGCAUCCCGGUGCAAGAACAUGAAAAUGGCUUCCUUGAAAGACAUGACACACACGACCUUCAGGAAAUGUUUCAAAGAACGCUGCCAGCCUUUGUCUUGCUUUAACAACCCCAGUAAAUGUGUCAAACUCCCUCAGAAGAAAUAGUUGGCUCCUCCACUUGUUCAGUUUACCGAUACCUGUUUUCAAAAAGAACUACUUAAAAAUUAAAAAAAAAAAAUAA